GUGGCGUCUCUCUGAACCCCCUCGACAGUCCGAGCUUCCAUAAUACCAUUCGGACUUCUCCAAUAAUGAGCUUCUCCAUCCAUCUACUGGCCGCUCCAAAGGCUCUCUGCGCCUCACUAUCGACUGACCUUCUACAGUGGUCAACUAUUCUUCGAACUUCUUUCGGACUUCGUCAAUAUCCAAGCUUCUCUGACAAUGAGAUUUCUAUAGUAAUCAGACUCCAUCCAAGUUUCUACGACGGUCGACCACCUUCAGGAUUCUAACCGAGCUCCUG
rnacentral:lncRNA from 1 species